rnacentral:tRNA from 1 species
GGUUGUGUAGUGUAGCGGUUAUCACUCCGGAUUCUGAUUCCGGCAACCCCGGUUCGAUUCCGGGCAUGACCU